AGGAUGUCAUCUUGUGGCCCCAGUCAUCCCUCAUCUUGAGAUGCUUCAGCCUUCUGCACGAGAGGAGUACAGGUAUGAUGUCCAGCUGCUUCGAGACUGAGAUGGCCAUGUCCCCGUGAAGGACUCAGUCUGCACAUCCAUGCCGGGAAGAAGACGGUGAAGUGCUGUGUCUAACAUCAGUGAGGGGACAUCAUUUAGUUAGACAGGGACUCUCAGAGCUGUCUCGGCAGUGGGAUGAAUAACCUAAAGAACCCGCUGGACUUUAAAGAACAAAUCAAGGAAAUCAGCAAAAGCGAAUAAAGAAAUGUGGACUCUUGGA